CCUACGGGGGGCUGCAGUGGGGAAUAUUGGACAAUGGGCGAAAGCCUGAUCCAGCCAUGCCGCGUGUGUGAAGAAGGCCUUCGGGUUGUAAAGCACUUUCAGUGGGGAAGAAAGCCUUGGGGCUAAUACCCUCGAGGAAGGACAUCACCCACAGAAGAAGCACCGGCUAACUCCGUGCCAGCAGCCGCGGUAAUACGGAGGGUGCGAGCGUUAAUCGGAAUUACUGGGCGUAAAGCGCGCGUAGGCGGUCUGAUAAGCCGGUUGUGAAAGCCCCGGGCUCAACCUGGGAACGGCAUCCGGAACUGUCAGGCUAGAGUGCAGGAGAGGAAGGUAGAAUUCCCGGUGUAGCGGUGAAAUGCGUAGAGAUCGGGAGGAAUACCAGGGGCGAAGGCGGCCUUCUGGACUGACACUGACGCUGAGGUGCGAAAGCGUGGGUAGCAAACAGGAUUAGAUACCCUAGUAGUC
rnacentral:rRNA from 1 species